AAAAAAACCCACUGCACCUCUGGUAACGUGCCAAGGAAGAACGCGGUAAAGGAAUGGGCUCUAAUAUAUACUUCUGUCCGAGAGAAACUGGGUUUGAAAACAAUCAAAAAUGGCGCAUGGACUCAUGAGGACAUCUGGAAAAUGUCUGAGCAACUUUGGUGAAGCUGAGUCUCGGAAAGCUGAUACAUUGACAGGUAUUCAUUACGACACGGUCGGUCGUUGGCGCCAUUUCAGACCGGUUUUCAUGUGCAAGCACCCUAAAAGGAAGGUUUACUUAGCAUCGAGGUUGAACUAUCAUCCCAAUUCUAAUGCAAGCUUCAAUUUAACUAGACUGGCGCUUUGUGGAGACUGUGAAAACAGGGUUUUGCCUUCACAAAUGAACGGACGGACGGGGACAACUCUUAAAAACUCUUCUGGGUAAAGGCUUUCCUUGGGGGCACUCGCUGGCUGCGGGAAGGUAACCGGAAUCUAUUACGGUUGCUGACUAUCCUUGAGAGAAUGACUAACGACAACAGGGUUGGCUCCAACGUAGAUUUAUUCUUCAAGCUCUACUACAAUUUUGACCAGAACGGACCAGGCCAGGGCUGGUUCGACCCUGCUCUUCUCUCUCUUAACUUUCUCCUCUCUUCUCUCACCCAACUCCUAAGCUUUACAGAACAGUCCUAUUUAAGCCUAACGUACAUGGAUAACGUAAUGCCAUGAAUAAUCUAAAGGAUCAUGUAAUCUACUACACUAUUGGCUAAGUAGGAAUUUCGCCUUUUACAACAUUAAUUACUUUUAAAGAGUUCCGGUGGAUAACAGUUACACAAAAAGACAUGACAGGUGGCUGUUACAGUUUAACACUAAUAACAACUGUUUACAGCUCAAGCGUGGAGAAUGGAUACCGGUACAUAAGAAGGAUGAUAAACAAAGGGAUGCAAACUAUAGACCUAUCACUGUGCUGUCAUGCGUAAAUAAAGUCUAUGAAAUAUUGCUGGGUCAACAAGUCAGUAAGUUUAUGAAUGACAGACUCAGUGAUGCUAUCACUGCCUAUCGUACAAAGAAUAGCUGUGAGACCACGCUGAUAAGGCUGACCGAAACAUGGAGAGCGGAACUAGACAGCAAGAGAAUUGACGGUAUAUUGUCAUCGGAUAUGAGCAAGGUUUUUGACUCUCUUAGCCCUCAGUUACUCUUAAAUAAACUGCAAGCCUACAAUUUCUCUGACAAAGUCAUACAGCUCUUACGAUCUUAUUUUCAGAGAAGAGAGAAUAGAGUAAGGAUAGGUUCUGUAAUAAGCGACUGGGUUGUGAUGAAGAGAGGAUGUCCACAGGGAAGCACAUUUGGACCACUUAUGUGGAAUAUUUUCUAGAACGAUUUGCCUAACAUAAUAUCAGAUGCCAAUGUCUCGAUGUAUGCAGAUGACCAUCAGAUCUUUGUAGCACAUGAAACAAUGAAAAGAGUGGAGAAGAUACUGGUGGACAAUGGAGAGAAGAUGACUAAAUGGUAUCAAGAUAAUCUUUUUAAGGUCAAUUGCGAUAAAUACCAAGCUAUCGUUUUGGGAAAUCCAAAAGGUGAAAGGAACACUGAUCUGGAUAUAAGUGGCGAAAAAGUUGAACAGUCACAAUCCAUCAAGAUCCUAGGUGUAACCCUAGACGAAAACCUAAACUUUAAAGAUCAUCUACGUAGUGUGAGUAAGAAAGUUGCCGGUAUGAUCGGAGUUUUAAGAAGGCUUAAAAAUCUUAUCCCAGUAAAUGCUAAGUUACUUUUGUACAAAUCAGCUAUCAUGCCACACCUUACUUAUUGCCACCUAGUGUGACAUUUUUGCACGGCAUCUGAUAAUCGUAGAUUGGAGCGUCUACAAGAAAGAGCCUUAAGAUUAGUGUAUAAUACUAUUGCCGAAAGUUAUGACGCCUUACUAAAAAGAGCUAAAUUAACUACUUUGCAAAAUAGAAGGUUGCAGGAUAUACUAAUUUUGAUGUUUAAAGUUAAAAACAAAUUAACAACGAACGAAAUUGCGAACAUUUUUAAUAUCAACGAUGAGAAUACUAAUAAUAAGGGAUACAACCUAAAAAUGCAGAUUUUGUCUUACCUCGGUUUAAAAGUGUUACUUAUGGAAGACAUUCUCUUAGAUUUCUUGGACCACAAUUGUGGUCAGGAAGAGAGAAAUAUUGGAACUUUGGCAACUUUUAGGACAACUAUACGUAAGAAGGAUGUAACAUCAUUUCUCGAAGGAUGUGAGAGUGAAUGUUGCUUAUGCUUAGGUUAACUUGACGUACGCAUAUUUAUACAUAUUCAUUUUUAGUGUCCGAGCUCAUAUAUUACAUUGUGAAUUCAGCACCCUGCUACAAAGUGUUAUAGAGUAAAAUUGUAACUUAGUUUUAAAGUGUAGAAGAGUACUUAGUCUGAAUAAUGUUAUUUUCCUGCUUUUAAGAUUCAUAGUUUUUAAUUAGAUUUUUUAGUCUUAAAGGUGUCCCCAAUUAGUUCCAAUAGGCACUAGAACGAUUAGACACUUAAAUAAAGGUCAUGUAUAUAUGUAUGUAUGUAGGUAUGACAGCG